rnacentral:rRNA from 1 species
CGGGGCUCCUUGGUGAUUCAUGAUAACUCCUCGAAUCGCAUGGCCUUGUGCCGGCGAUGGUUCAUUCAAAUUUCUUCCCUAUCAACUUUCGAUGUUUGGGUAUUGGCCAAACAUGGUUGCAACGGGUAACGGAGGGUUAGGGCUCGACCCCGGAGAAGGAGCCUGAGAAACGGCUACUACAUCCAAGGAAGGCAGCAGGCGCGCAAAUUACCCAAUCCCGACACGGGGAGGUAGUGACAAUAAAUACUGAUACAGGGCUCUUUUGGGUCUUGUAAUUGGAAUGAGUACAAUUUAAAUCCCUUAACGAGGAACAAUUGGAGGGCAAGUCUGGUGCCAGCAGCCGCGGUAAUUCCAGCUCCAAUAGCGUAUAUUAAAGUUGUUGUGGUUAAAAAGCUCGUAGUUGAACCUUGGGCCUGGCUGGCCGGUCCGCCUCACCGCGUGUACUGGUCCGGCCGGGCCUUUCCCUCUGUGGAACCCCAUGCCCUUCACUGGGUGUGGCGGGGAAACAGGACUUUUACUUUGAAAAAAUUAGAGUGCUCCAGGCAGGCCUAUGCUCGAAUACAUUAGCAUGGAAUAAUAGAAUAGGACGUGUGGUUCUAUUUUGUUGGUUUCUAGGACCGCCGUAAUGAUUAAUAGGGACAGUCGGGGGCAUCAGUAUUCAAUUGUCAGAGGUGAAAUUCUUGGAUUUAUUGAAGACUAACUACUGCGAAAGCAUUUGCCAAGGAUGUUUUCAUUAAUCAGGAACGAAAGUUAGGGGAUCGAAGACGAUCAGAUACCGUCGUAGUCUUAACCAUAAACUAUGCCGACUAGGGAUCGGACGAUGUUAUUUUUUGACUCGUUCGGCACCUUACGAGAAAUCAAAGUGCUUGGGCUCCAGGG